rnacentral:rRNA from 1 species
GACGAACGCUGGCGGCGUGCCUAAUACAUGCAAGUUGAGCGAUGAAGGGUGGUACUUGUACCAACGGGGUGAGCAGCGAACGGGUGAGUAACGCGUGGGGAAUCUGCCUUUAAGCGGGGGACAACAUUGGGAAACGAAAGCUAAUACCGCAUAAAAAAUUUAAACACAAGGUUUAAGAUUGAAAGAUGGAAUUGCAUCAAUCAAAGGUGAUAUCCGGUUGGAUUAGCUAAGUGGGUAAGGAAAGGCUCAACAAGGCGAUGAUACAUAACCGAACUGAGGGGGUGAUUCGCCACAUUGGGACUGAGACACCGCUCAAGCUCCUUCGGGAGGCAGCAGUAGGGAAUCCUCGGGCAUGGACGAAAGUCUUACCGGGCAACCGCGCGGUAGUGAAGAAGGUUUUCGGAUCGUUAAACUUUGUUUAUAGAGAAGAACGUUGGUGAGAGUUGACUGCUCAUCAAUUGACGGUACCUACCCAGAAAGGCACGGCUAACUACGUG